UACUCGGUCAUUUUAUUUUCCAUCCGUUUAAGGGCUGCCACAUAAUUCUAGAACCUCACUUUCAUCUCCUUUCCAACUCUUUCACCUUCCAUUCAUCUUCUCAGCUUGGGUAUCGCAAUUUUAGGUAGACCUUUACCUCAAUUUUUGCUUUAAUCUUCUUCCAGUUCUUUCAAUUCAUCCUCCUCUCUCUUUCAAUCUUAUCCUAUAUACUUUUUUCCAAUGGCUUUCUUCCUAUUUCAUCAGCUUCUGGCUUGGAAUAUCUACCUUCAUCCGUCUUCUACUUUGAGUGUUGCAAGAUUCAGGUUAGUCUGUCAGGCUCAGCUAUUUUUUGUUUCAAUUUUUUUUCCUAUUUUGUUUUUCAUGUUUUGGUUGCUAUUCUUCUUUGUUGUUGAGGUCGACCAAGGGUAGAAUUGUCUUUGUACUCGGUCAUUUUAUUUUCCAUCCGUUUAAGGGCUGCCAUAUAAUUCUAGAACCUCACUUUUAUCUCCUUUCCAACUCUUUCACCUUCCAUUCAUCUUCUCAGCUUGGGUAUCGCAAUUUUAGGUAGACCUUUACCUCAAUUUUUGCUUUAAUCUUCUUCCAAUUCUUUCAAUUCAUCCUCCUCUCUCUUUCAAUCUUAUCCUAUAUACUUUUCUCCAAUGGCUUUCUUCCUAUUUCAUCAGCUUCUGGCUUGGAAUAUCUACCUUCAUCCGUCUUCUACUUUGAGUGUUGCAAGAUUCAGGAAUAGGUGCAAGAAGCUCUCAUCAUGAAGAUCAGGAAGAAUACAAGGUAGCGAAUGUUUCCAGCAAUGAGGAAAUCCUUGCAAUACUCUAUAUGGCUCUCAAUUGGACUAUGUAAUUUCUUUGUUCGUAGGAUAUGUAGCACUAAUAGCAACAUGAUACAUUUGAUUGAUCAUGUGGUAUAUAGAAUGAUAGGUAGGAGAUGAGCAAUUAGUCAUAAGCUUGGGUUUGAUGUAAAUGAUUUUAAAGGAAAAGCGCAACAAAAUGAAAUAUUUGCUCCAUUCUACACA